rnacentral:rRNA from 1 species
UACGUAGGGUGCAAGCGUUAAUCGGAAUUACUGGGCGUAAAGCGUGCGCAGGCGGUUUUGUAAGUCAGAUGUGAAAUCCCCGGGCUUAACCUGGGAACUGCGUUUGAAACUACAAGGCUAGAGUGUGGCAGAGGGGGGGUGGAAUUCCACGUGUAGCAGUGAAAUGCGUAGAGAUGUGGAGGAACACCGAUGGCGAAGGCAGCCCCCCUGGGUUAACACUGACGCUCAGGCACGAAGGCGUGGGGAGCAAACAGG